rnacentral:rRNA from 1 species
GAUCGAUGGCUCAGGACGAACGCUGGCGGCGUGCUUAACACAUGCAAGUCGAGCGAUGAAGCUCUUCGGGAGUGGAUUAGCGGCGGACGGGUGAGUAACACGUGGGUAACCUGCCUCAUAGAGGGGAAUAGCCUUCCGAAAGGAAGAUUAAUACCGCAUAAGAUUGUAAUAUCGCAUGAUAUAGCAAUUAAAGGAGCAAUCCGCUAUGAGAUGGACCCGCGUCGCAUUAGCUAGUUGGUGAGGUAACGGCUCACCAAGGCGACGAUGCGUAGCCGACCUGAGAGGGUGAUCGGCCACAUUGGGACUGAGACACGGCCCAGACUCCUACGGGAGGCAGCAGUGGGGAAUAUUGCACAAUGGGGGAAACCCUGAUGCAGCAAACCGCCGCGUGAGUGAUGACGGUCUUCGGAUUGUAAAGCUCUGUCUUCAGGGACGAUAAUGACGGUACCUGAGGAGGAAGCCACGGCUAACUACGUGCCAGCAGCAGC